rnacentral:lncRNA from 1 species
CAGUUGGUUUUCAGAUGGAAAGCCGUGGACCACUCAGGGAAGCUCCUCCGAACGAUUACCGCGUUCUGGCCAUUGUGUCGAUAUUCUUCUGUCCACUGCUUGGCCUCUUGGCACUUGUCAUGUCAUUUCUGACUAAUCAGCGCUAUGAAGAAGAUGACCUCAAAAGAGCUGUGGACGCAUCCAGAGAUACAAAAUUUUCAGCAAUUCUUGCCAUUGGUUUUGGAAUUGCCAUCGCACUCUUUUUUAUUUUCAUUGUGUUAAUCGUGCCAACAUUUGCCUAGAAAUAGCCUUGGCACAUAUAUUGGUCUCCUCUAGCAAAAAAGUAAUUUACUCAGGAGGUAAAAACAGUCAUAACAGUAAAUCGCCUUAGGUAAAGUAAAGCACUCAUUGUUGGCUCAGCAACAACGGUGCAUUUUAAAGUGCUCACGUGCAUAUUAUAGCUACUUUUUUCUCAGGAGAGUACUUCAUUUCAUAGAAAGCACCGGCGAAAGAUAUUACAUAAAUGUCAAUCAGAAAAUGUAGACAGUACAACAUUUUGAAGCUGUGCGGAAACGAUCGGCAUGGGUACUCAUAUUUUACUGUAUCUGUAGAAUAACACACAUUUCAUUUGCCAUCUUCGAUUAUGCACCCCCGUGCAAUCAUGAAAUUCAAAAUAUAAUCCCACCCCUGUCCUGAAAAAGCCGCCAGCAUGCGUGAAUGAAUGAAUGUAUGUAGUAAGAGAGGACGGUAUUACUCCAGUUUUUUUAUUCUGGGAAAACAAAAACAUUGAAUAUGAAUCAAAUAGAUUCAAUCAUUGUGGAGAUUGACAAGGAGAUCAUAUUUGUAUAGUUAAAAAUAUGAGUACCGGGCGCUUAAUCGAAGAAGUACGAAUUACCGAAAAAUUAUACGUAAUCAGUUUUUAAGUACGUAGAACUUUGUUAUUCUGCGUUCAGUUUGCCUCAAUAACAACCUGACUAUAGUUCUAAGAGUGGAUUGUGCAAUCAGUUUUUCUUAUCCCUGUAUACAUUUGUAAGAAAUGUACCACUCCUCAGUUUAAAUAAGUAAAAUUAAAUGAGCAUGGGAAUGAAAGCUACGUGGUGUAUAAACCAGUAUUGUGCAAAUAAAUCGUUGUGUAAUCGUUGUAAGAAACAUCAAAAACAAAGCUAACAUUUCUUACAUGUAUAAAGAUCUUUUGCUCCGAUCCAUCAGAACAUAAAAAUUUAUAGUGUAAUUCGAUUGCGUUUUUUACACGAGCUUCUGGCAUACAUGAGUGCAAACUCGCCCCUUGUAUUGACAUUAAUAAUAAAAUUGAUUGUAUUGUAUUGUAUUUUUGGAGGGACUAAAUUGAAGAGCAAACUUUGACAUGCAACCGAAUACAGAAGGGCAAAUAAAUUUCGUUAAGUUUA